AGUUAAGUGAGAAAGCGUACAGGGCGGAUGCCUUGGCAAUCAGAGGCGAAGAAGGACGUGCUAAUCUGCGAAAAGCGUGGGUGAGUUGAUAAGAAGCGUUUAACCCACGAUGUCCGAAUGGGGAAACCCGAUAGGCGAAGAGCCUAUCAUUGCGAGGUGAAUAAAAUAGCCUCGUAAGGCGAACCGGGAGAACUGAAACAUCUAAGUACCCCGAGGAAAAGAAAUCAACCGAGAUUCUGUGAGUAGCGGCGAGCGAAAGCGGAGGAGCCAGUAAGUAAUAGCAGCAGAGAUAGAGGAAUUGUCUGGGAAGGCAAGCGACACAGGGUGAUAGCCCCGUACUUAAAAUCCAGGCUGUGGUACUAAGCUUACGAGAAGUAGGGCGGGACACGAGGAAUCCUGUCUGAAGAUGGGGGGACCAUCCUCCAAGGCUAAAUACUCCUGAUUGACCGAUAGUGAACCAGUACUGUGAAGGAAAGGCGAAAAGAACCCCGGUGAGGGGAGUGAAAUAGAACCUGAAACCCUGUACGUACAAGCAGUGGGAGCCCCAUCACUCAAACACAUUGAGUGGUGGAAAUGGCAAAAAAAGCACCAAAAAUAACACCGCACUUUAAAGUGCAGGGUAAGACGAGCGAAGCGAGUCAAACCCCAAGAAAGGCAGUGUGGUUGAGUGAUGGGGUGACUGCGUACCUUUUGUAUAAUGGGUCAGCGACUUAUAUUUUGUAGCGAGGUUAACUGAAUAAGGGAGCCGAAGGGAAACCGAGUCUUAACUGGGCGAAGAGUUGCAAGGUAUAGACCCGAAACCCGGUGAUCUAGCCAUGGGCAGGUUGAAGGUUGGGUAACACUAACUGGAGGACCGAACCGACUAAUGUUGAAAAAUUAGCGGAUGACCUGUGGCUGGGGGUGAAAGGCCAAUCAAACCGGGAGAUAGCUGGUUCUCCCCGAAAUCUAUUUAGGUAGAGCCUUGUGUGAAUACCUUUGGGGGUAGAGCACUGUUUCGGCUAGGGGCCCAUCCCGGGUUACCAAACCGAUGCAAACUCCGAAUACCAAAGAGUAAUGCACAGGAGACACACGGCGGGUGCUAACGUCCGUCGUGGAGGGAAACAACCCAGACCGCCAGCUAAGGUCCCAAAAUCUAUAUUAAGUGGGAAACGAAGUGGGAAGGCUUAGACAGCUAGGAUGUUGGCUUAGAAGCAGCCACCAUUUAAAGAAAGCGUAAUAGCUCACUAGUCGAGUCGGCCUGCGCGGAAGAUGUAACGGGGCUAAAAUAUAGUACCGAAGCUGCGGCAUCAAUCGAAAGAUUGUUGGGUAGGGAGCGUUGUGUAAGCGGAAGAAGGUGGUUCGAGAGGAUUGCUGGACGUAUCACAAGUGCGAAUGCUGACAUAAGUAACGAUAAAACGGGUGAAAAACCCGUUCGCCGGAAGACCAAGGGUUCCUGUCCAACGUUAAUCGGGGCAGGGUGAGUCGGCCCCUAAGGCGAGGCUGAAAAGCGUAGUCGAUGGGAAACGGGUUAAUAUUCCCGUACUUGGUAAAGCUGCGAUGUGGGGACGGAGAAGGUUAGGUUAUCGACCUGUUGGAGAUGGUCGUUUAAGUUGGUAGGUGGGUGAGUUAGGCAAAUCCGGCUCACCGUUAACACUGAGAGAUGAUGACGAGGCACUAAGGUGCUGAAGUAACUGAUACCACACUUCCAGGAAAAGCCACUAAGCUUCAGGCUUUACUAAACCGUACUGAAAACCGACACAGGUGGUCAGGUAGAGAAUACUCAGGCGCUUGAGAGAACUCGGGUGAAGGAACUAGGCAAAAUAGCACCGUAACUUCGGGAGAAGGUGCGCCGGCGUAGAUUGUAGUGACUUGCUCACGAAGGUUGAACCGGUCGAAGAUACCAGCUGGCUGCAACUGUUUAUUAAAAACACAGCACUCUGCAAACACGAAAGUGGACGUAUAGGGUGUGAUGCCUGCCCGGUGCUGGAAGGUUAAUUGAUGGUGUAAUCGAAAGAGAAGCUCCUGAUCGAAGCCCCAGUAAACGGCGGCCGUAACUAUAACGGUCCUAAGGUAGCGAAAUUCCUUGUCGGGUAAGUUCCGACCUGCACGAAUGGCAUAAUGAUGGCCAGGCUGUCUCCACCCGAGACUCAGUGAAAUUGAAAUCGCCGUGAAGAUGCGGUGUACCCGCGGCUAGACGGAAAGACCCCGUGAACCUUUACUAUAGCUUGACACUGAACCUUGAAUUUUGAUGUGUAGGAUAGGUGGGAGACUGUGAAGCGGUAACGCCAGUUAUCGUGGAGUCGUUGUUGAAAUACCACCCUUUAACGUUUGAUGUUCUAACGAAGCGCCUGAAACGGGUGUUCGGACAGUGUCUGGUGGGUAGUUUGACUGGGGCGGUCUCCUCCCAAAGUGUAACGGAGGAGCACGAAGGUUUGCUAAUGACGGUCGGACAUCGUCAGGUUAGUGCAAUGGUAUAAGCAAGCUUAACUGCGAGACAGACAAGUCGAGCAGGUGCGAAAGCAGGUCAUAGUGAUCCGGUGGUUCUGAAUGGAAGGGCCAUCGCUCAACGGAUAAAAGGUACUCCGGGGAUAACAGGCUGAUACCGCCCAAGAGUUCAUAUCGACGGCGGUGUUUGGCACCUCGAUGUCGGCUCAUCACAUCCUGGGGCUGAAGUAGGUCCCAAGGGUAUGGCUGUUCGCCAUUUAAAGUGGUACGCGAGCUGGGUUUAGAACGUCGUGAGACAGUUCGGUCCCUAUCUGCCGUGGGCGUUGGAGAAUUGAGAGGGGCUGCUCCUAGUACGAGAGGACCGGAGUGGACGCAUCACUGGUGUACCAGUUGUCUCGCCAGAGGCACAGCUGGGUAGCUAAAUGCGGAAGAGAUAAGUGCUGAAAGCAUCUAAGCACGAAACUUGCCUCAAGAUGAGUUCUCCCUGACUUAAAGUCAAUAAGGGUUGUUGGAGACGACGACGUAGAUAGGCUGGGUGUGUAAGCGGUGUGAGCCGUUGAGCUAACCAGUACUAAUUGCCCGAGAGGCUUAACUAU
rnacentral:rRNA from 1 species